AAGGAGUUAGUUAAAAUAUAACAUUAGAGUGUCAAUCUAAAAUAACUAAUUAUUAGUACACCUUG
rnacentral:tRNA from 1 species